rnacentral:rRNA from 1 species
UACGGAGGGUGCGAGCGUUGUCCGGAAUCAUUGGGCGUAAAGGGCGCGUAGGUGGCCCGGUCAGUUCGUGGUGAAAGCGCGGGGCUCAACCCUGCGUCGGCCAUGAAUACUGCCGCGGCUGGAGCACUGUAGAGGCAGGCGGAAUUCCGGGUGUAGCGGUGGAAUGCGUAGAGAUCCGGAGGAACACCAGCGGCGAAGGCGGCGUCCUGGACUGGUACUGACGCUCAGGAGCGAAAGCGUGGGGAGCGAUCCGG